UCAAGUAAGGAAGGGCGUACGGCGAAUGCCUGGCCACUUGGAACUGAAGAAGGACGCACCGAACGGCGAAACGCGACGGGGAGCGGUAAGGACGCAAAGAUCCGUCGAUAUCCGAAUGGGGGAACCCGGCAUCCGUCAUAGGAUGUCACCCAUACCUGAACACAUAGGGUAUGAGGGAGGAACGCGGGGAACUGAAACAUCUAAGUACCCGCAGGAAAAGAAAACAACAGUGAUUCCCUGAGUAGCGGCGAGCGAAAGGGGAGGAGCCCAAACCGAUCGAAGGAUCGGGGUUGAAGGACCACGAGAGUAACAAGAGAGAGGCUAGUGGAAAUGCAUGGGAAGGCAUACCGAAGAGGGUGAGAGUCCCGUAGACGAAAGCCGAUCGAAGCGAAGUGGGAUCCUGAGUACGGCAAGACACGAGGAAUCUGGUCGGAAGCAGGCGGGACCAUCCGUCAAGGCUAAAUAUUACCAAGUGAGCGAUAGUGAACGAGUACCGUGAGGGAAAGGUGAAAAGAACCGCGGGAGCGGAGUGAAAGAGAACCUGAAACCGUAUGCCUACAAGAAGUCAGAGCCCGUUAAAGGGUGAUGGCGUGCCUUUUGUAGAAUGAACCGGCGAGUUACGAUAUAGUGCGAGGUUAAGUUGAAGAGACGGAGCCGAAGCGAAAGCGAGUCUUAAUAGGGCGAUAGUAGGAUAUCGUAGACCCGAAACCAGGUGAUCUAGCCAUGACCAGGUUGAAGUUCAGGUGAAACUGAAUGGAGGACCGAACCGACCACCGUUGAAAAGUUGGCGGAUGAGUUGUGGCUAGGGGAGAAAUUCCAAUCGAACCUGGAGAUAGCUGGUUCUCCCCGAAAUAGCUUUAGGGCUAGCGUCGGGCGAUGGGACACGGAGGUAGAGCACUGAACGUACGAUGGCGCCAUCCCGGUGUACUGAGUAUGAUCAAACUGCGAAUGCCGUGUCAGAGGAGCCCGGCAGUCAGACCAUGGGUGAUAAGGUCCGUGGUCGAGAGGGAAACAGCCCAGACCGCCAGAUAAGGUCCCAAAAUACAUGCUAAGUGGAAAAGGAUGUGGGGAUGCACAGACAACUAGGAGGUUGGCUCAGAAGCAGCCACCCUUUAAAGAGUGCGUAACAGCUCACUAGUCGAGUGACCCUGCGCCGAAAAUGUACCGGGGCUAAGCAUGAUACCGAAGCUGCGGAUUCUGAGGAAUGGUAGGGGAGCGUUGCAUGCACGUGGAAGCCGUACCGGAAGGAACGGUGGAGAGCAUGGAAGAGAGAAUGCCGGUGUGAGUAGCGAGAUGCAGGUGAGAAUCCUGCACACCGAAAGCCCAAGGAUUCCAGGGGAAGGUUCGUCCGCCCUGGGUAAGUCGGGACCUAACGCGAGGCCGAAAGGCGUAGUGGAUGGAAAACAGGCAGAUAUUCCUGUACCCGUAUGGAGAGCGAUGGAGUGACGGAGAAGGCUAGUGUGACCCUAUGAAUGGAUUUAGGGCGAAGCGAAGCAGCAGGUGCAUGGUAAAAUGCGUGCACGGGAUGCAGAGCGUGACAGGUAAGCGAACGUUUCGGCAAGUAGCGAAGCACAUGAGGCCAGCUUCCAAGAAAAGCUUCUAGCGAUAAUGUCCAUGCGGCCCGUACCAAAACCGACACAGGUGGGCAAGGAGAGGAUCCUAAGGUGAGCGAGAGAACUGUUGCCAAGGAACUCGGCAAAAAGACUCCGUAAGUUCGCGAGAAGGAGUGCUCUUGAGAAAGAGCCGCAGCGAAGAGGCCCAAGCGACUGUUUAACUAAAACACAGCUCUCUGCGAAGUCGCAAGACGAAGUAUAGGGGGUGACGCCUGCCCGGUGCUGGAAGGUUAAGGGGAGGAGUUAUCGAAAGAGAAGCUCUGAACCGAAGCCCCAGUGAACGGCGGCCGUAACUAUAACGGUCCUAAGGUAGCGAAAUUCCUUGUCAGGUAAGUUCUGACCCGCACGAAAGGCGUAACGAUUUGGGCGCUGUCUCGGCAGCAGACUCGGUGAAAUCUUAGUACCUGUGAAAAUGCAGGUUACCCGCAACUAGACGGAAAGACCCCAUGGAGCUUUACUGCAGCCUGAUAUUGGAUUUUGAUUCAGCAUGUACAGGAUAGGUGGGAGACUGAGAGACAUGCACGCCAGUGUAUGAGGAGUCGACGUUGGGAUACCACUCUUGCUGGAUCGGAGUUCUAACCUGUGCGCCUGGAACGGCGCAAGGGAGAGUGUCAGGCGGGCAGUUUGACUGGGGCGGUCGCCUCCCAAAGAGUAACGGAGGCGCGCGAAGGUCACCUCAGUGUGAAUGGAAAACACACAAAGAGCGUAAGGGUAUAAGGUGGCUUAACUGUGAGACUGACAGGUCGAUCAGAAACGAAAGUUGGUCCUAGUGAUCCGGUGGUCCUGAGUGGAAAGGCCAUCGCUCAUCGGAUAAAAGCUACCCCGGGGAUAACAGGCUGAUGCCGCCCGAGAGUUCCUAUCGACGGCGGCGUUUGGCACCUCGAUGUCGGCUCAUCGCAUCCUGGGGCUGAAGCAGGUCCCAAGGGUUUGGCUGUUCGCCAAUUAAAGCGGUACGUGAGCUGGGUUCAGAACGUCGUGAGACAGUUCGGUCCCUAUCCACUGUGGGCGCAAGGUAUUUGAGAGGAACUGUCCCUAGUACGAGAGGACCGGGAUGGACGAACCGCUAGUGAACCAGUUAUUCCGCCAGGAGUAAAAGCUGGGUAGCCAUGUUCGGAUCGGAUAACCGCUGAAGGCAUCUAAGCGGGAAGCCGGCCUCAAGAUGAGAUACCUCAUUGCAUAAGCAAGUAAGGUGUCCGGCAGACGACCGGUUAGAUAGGUUGGGAGUGUAAGAGGGUAACGCCCUUUGAGCUGACCAAUACUAAUACACCGAGGCCUUAACCU
rnacentral:rRNA from 1 species